ensembl:snoRNA
AUCUUUUUGUGGUUCGUAAGUGUAAAGAUUGAGUUGAUACAUGGCUGUGUGACAUGUGCCUUCCUCCAAAACUUGUUAUGACAUCAGCACAUUGCCCAUCUGACG